rnacentral:rRNA from 1 species
GGCUCAGUAGGUUGGUCGUGCCACCGGUACGUACUGGUCUCACUGAUUCCUCCUUCCUGAAGAACCGUAAUGCCAUUAAUUUGGUGUUGCGGGGAAACAGGACUGUUACUUUGAAAAAAUUAGAGUGUUUAAAGCAAGCUAACGCUUGAAUACAUUAGCAUGGAAUAAUGAAAUAGGACGAUCGAUCCUAUUUUGUUGGUUUCUAGGAUUGACGUA